rnacentral:tRNA from 1 species
UUAUGUGGGCUCGGGCUACAUUGCCACGUGUUCGUUAUGAU